rnacentral:rRNA from 1 species
GACGAACGCUGGCGGCGUGCUUAACACAUGCAAGUCGAACGGAAAGGCCCUGCUUUUGUGGGGUGCUCGAGUGGCGAACGGGUGAGUAACACGUGAGUAACCUGCCCUUGACUUUGGGAUAACUUCAGGAAACUGGGGCUAAUACCGGAUAGGAGCUCCUGCUGCAUGGUGGGGGUUGGAAAGUUUCGGCGGUUGGGGACGGACUCGCGGCUUAUCAGCUUGUUGGUGGGGUAGUGGCUUACCAAGGCUUUGACGGGUAGCCGGCCUGGGAGGGUGACCGGCCACAUUGGGACUGAGAUACGGCCCAGACUCCUACGGGAGGCAGCAGUGGGGAAUAUUGCACAAUGGGCGGAAGCCUGAUGCAGCAACGCCGCGUGCGGGAUGACGGCCUUCGGGUUGUAAACCGCUUUCGCCUGUGACGAAGCGUGAGUGACGGUAAUGGGUAAAGAAGCACCGGCUAACUACGUG